rnacentral:rRNA from 1 species
UACGAAGGUCCCAAGCGUUAUCCGGAAUUAUUGGGCGUAAAGCGCAUGUAGGCGGUUUGUUAAGUCUGGUGUGAAAGCUCAAGGCCUAACCUUGAAAUUGCAUUGGAAACUGGCAAACUAGAAUACUGGAGGGGUAAGUGGAAUUCCAUGUGUAGCGGUGGAAUGCGUAGAUAUAUGGAGGAACACCAAUGGCGAAGGCAGCUUACUACGGAUUGAUUGACACUGAGGCACGAAAGCGUGGGGAUCAAACAGG